ACAGGUGUUGAUUCUAAGGAUACCCCCAAUAAACAUCUUUCGUGCUAAAGCCCAUUCCAGAAUUUACUUCCCAGCUAUCUUUGAUGUUCAUAUUGUCAGAGGUGGUGGCCGCUGAAACAGGCAAAGACAUGGAGCAUAUCUUGGGUCCAGGUAAAGGAGGUGGGUGCACACAAGUGAAAAGAUGUUGCUGAAGUCACGUGGCUUCAAGCAGUAGAGCUGACUGUCCUCUAGUCCAGUUGUCCCUACAGGAUAAAAGCUUCUCUCCAUUACAGAGACCUUGGGAGUCCAGAGGAAGGUCUUUUUACCAUCAGCAUUCUCUACUGUGUUCAAUGACUGUCAGCCAAAGAUGGCCAGCUUUCCUUCAGAAAGAAAUGCAUUCAAAGAACCUACAUUCACAACAUAAAGAAAUAAAGCCUGCACCUACAGAUCUACACACAUGCCCAUGCACAUGCAGGAAGUGUUCAUCUAAGACUGGACCUUUUAGAAGAAAGCUGGCAUACAUUCGUGAAGGCAUGGGCUUCCAGGCAUGUCAUCUUCACUCACGAAGCACACACAAGACCGCCAAGCAUUAAGAUUCUCCUGUGGAGCCAGGCUACAAUCCUUUAAAUGAAGACAGACAGCUAGGUGGCUGCAGCCCAGCGCUACACCUCACCCCUCCCUCAGUGUCAUGCAGAAAAAAUGUAUUCAGAACUCAGAAGUGAAGUUGUGCAAAUCCAUCAUUGACACUAGCUUCAAGGUUACCUCGGGGGAGCAGAAUGUACCCCUGCCAGAGAGCUGGAUAGAUGAUGAUGGGGACAGAAAUUCUGGGGGAGUUGUAAAUGGCAGCCACUGCCUCUAUAGGAAACCCAAAGGGAACACAGCAGAAGAGGAGGUGGUGGAGGAGCCACUGCCCUCUCGAAGGGUUCAAUGUCAUUCUGCAGACACAACCAAAUAACUUUUUCUUCCCUGCUGCUCCUCCAUUUGAAAUGACAGCCCCGAGCUCGCUUUUUCCUUGAUUGUGUAACUCUGAUUACAGACAAGGCCAAGGCAAUCCCAGGGCAUUACUACAAAGCUAAGGGGUCCCCAAAGAACUAAAGAGUCAGCUCCACAAAAAUCCCGAUUCCUAGCAUGAAACUGAAAUAUGAAACCAAACGGGCAUAGAAAAGGUAUGUGCAUUCGAAUCACAUAGCAGUGACUGGAGUCCUGAGCUGUGUCUGAAGACUGUGAGAUCACGUUUGGAGCUGCUGAUUGGUUUUCAGUGAUGGCCCUGUUGCACAGUGCCGUGAGACUUAGCUCCAUGGCCAAAGACGAUGGUAUCCCCUAGGAGCCCUGUGAGGUUGCUGCUGUUCUCUUAAGACACCAGGUAGCCAUCUGAUCCUCCCUGAGCAAACUAACUGGGCAGACAGGUUUAUUAAACCUCUGUUGGUCCGACUUACAUGAAACAAGAGAGUUAUUUUGUUGUUGUUGUUUUGUUUUGUUUUAAAUUAAACCUGUCUUUGGAGCCUCC
rnacentral:lncRNA from 1 species